GCAAGUCGAGCGAUGAAGUUCCUUCGGGAACGGAUUAGCGGCGGACGGGUGAGUAACACGUGGGUAACCUGCCUCAUAGAGGGGAAUAGCCUUUCGAAAGGAAGAUUAAUACCGCAUAAGAUUGUAGCUUCGCAUGAAGUAGCAAUUAAAGGAGUAAUCCGCUAUGAGAUGGACCCGCGUCGCAUUAGCUAGUUGGUGAGGUAACGGCUCACCAAGGCGACGAUGCGUAGCCGACCUGAGAGGGUGAUCGGCCACAUUGGGACUGAGACACGGCCCAAACUCCUACGGGAGGCAGCAGUAGGGAAUCUUCCACAAUGGACGAAAGUCUGAUGGAGCAACGCCGCGUGAGCGAAGAAGGUUUUCGGAUCGUAAAGCUCUGUUGCCGGAGAAGAACGAGUAUGAGAGGAAAUGCUUGUACUGUGACGGUAUCCGGCCAGAAAGCCACGGCUAACUACGUGCCAGCAGCCGCGGUAAUACGUAGGUGGCAAGCGUUGUCCGGAAUUAUUGGGCGUAAAGCGCGCGCAGGCGGCUUCUUAAGUCUGAUGUGAAAUCUUGCGGCUCAACCGCAAAUGGUCAUUGGAAACUGGGAAGCUUGAGUACAGAAGAGGAGAGUAGAAUUCCACGUGUAGCGGUGAAAUGCGUAGAUAUGUGGAGGAAUACCAGUGGCGAAGGCGGCUCUCUGGUCUGUAACUGACGCUGAGGCGCGAAAGCG
rnacentral:rRNA from 1 species